GUGCUCGUUUUCGUCUGGAUCAGGCCGUAGACACGAUCGAGACAAAAGAAUACCCGUCACCCCUCACUUGUCUUCUCUUGCUGCAGUUGUGGCUUGACGCGAUCCUGACAAAACCAUACCCGUCGGUCGUGGCUUCUUCUGCUCCUCGCCUUGGCAGAAUUUGCAUGCGGUGUGUCUGGACUCGCCAUACUGCAAUGGAAGGUCCUCAAUACGAGCCAUCCAGUUGGGUUCAUGUCCACCACAGAGAAGGGAAGGUCACCAACGCUUAGCUCUCACACACAUCUCCAGGUCUCCUGCAAAGGAGUCAGGAUGACCCAGGAGUGGCUCAGUUUUAGCAAGAGCAGAAGCCAUUCGAAAAUCGAUCGAAAUGGAAGCCAUGGAUGAGUGGAGGAAAAUGGUGUCAAUAAUAUAGAAUUUACAUAAAGGAGCAGGCAGUCACAUGCCAGAAGGCCGAUCACUGACUGCACCUAUCUCUAUAGCUAAUAUGACCUAUUGCUCCACACUCCACAGGUUAUUGAUGAGAAAACUACCAAGCCACCAAAGUAAAAGUCAUCAUCCAAGAUAGUUAGCACAAGAUUAGAGGGGGAUUAUUUUCUAGUAUAAGCUAGAUAAAUUGCCCAUAUAAGAUGUCACUUCAUUGUGCUUAGAUCAAGCGAUGAACAGAGGAUUGCACGGGUUCACAUAUAUAGGCCCUUGCUAUUGCAGCUCAUGCUCCACAACCACAAUAAUGAUGGCGCUAAGUGAUAGGAAGAGAGGCUUGAAGAGCAACUUGCCCAUCCUGCUUGGUUCCCAACUUGGUGGUGGUAAUCCAAGAACCUUGAUUGGGAGGGUUUUAGUGAUUAGGAGCAUAUUCAUACGAUUUAUUCAUCGGUACGAUAACAUGGGAUGAAUACUUUACUUGUGCUAAGUUUGUACCUCUAAGCCACACUAGAUAAACCUCGGAGCACAUCACACUACUGGAAUCGACCUGUUUCCCUAGGGUCAAAACACUAGGGAAAUGAUAGAAAAACCCUA